AUAAAUCACAUUACUGACUAAAACAAAUCAGCAUCAUGCAUGAACCCACUUCACAAACACAACCACGUUUUGAGGAUAUAAGUGGGUGAAAUGCCUCUAAUGUGGUCCUGCCAUAUGUACCCAAACGCUUGCAUCUUAAUUCAGUAGCUGGAUCUGGUUGUCAGCUUCUUUGGCUCUAACAUCUUUCUUGUUUUCUGCUAUUGGUCCAAUCUCCAGAAACCAAAGAGGGUAGGGCAAUAAUGGUACGCUUCCCCUCUACAGUUCUACUCAAUGAAGCCUGCUCUGAUCAUAGUGGUAGAGUUUUUCCAGUACAAUAAUUAGAUACUUUGCCAACCAGAUUGAUUAAUUUGUCAUUCUAAUGUUAUAUCACUUUGACUUCUUGUUAUAGUUUACAUAAAUGAUUUGGUUGGGAAGCACUCUGGCAUUAUUACUACUGAUACAUGCUUUUAUUAUCUAUCUUGUCCACAUUAAAAAGAAAAAGAAAAAGAAAAAACAAUUUUUUUUAAAAGCUAAUGUCCAAACAAUGCUUUGCAUAGAAAUCUAUUUAAAUUUUAAACAAAUGAAGAUGCACUUAAAUUUAAGAUUAAACAAAAUGUUACCCUACAGAAAAUAUGAACAUAAUGAUGUGGAAAAGCAAAAAAUGGAACAUAAGGCUGGGGGGUUGAGCUCAAUCUGCCAUUUUCAAGGAGGGUGUGUGACGUGCAUAAUUGAAAUUAGGUGAGAAUUAAGUGUUAAGCACUUAAUUAAAGACAUGGUAUAUGGGUGGCACAAAAAUUGGUUGGUCCAAGUGGUGAAAGCAACCCUAUCACAUGGAUGAGUCAGAGGGUCAUGUGUUGCAGGAGGAUCAGAGAGAGAAUGGCACGUGAAUGCGUCCAAAUCCCAUUUCGAUAUUUGCUGUUAGGAAUUUGAAGGUGGUUCUAGGAAAUGAAGCGGAAUUCCAACUCAACAGAAACGGAAAUGGGCCCCAAGAGAACGGGGGUUGUUGUUGUGUCGAUUUUGUGAGGAAGUCGAGAAAUGUAAUUGGCCAACCAGACUGGCCUGUAGCUGAAUGCUGAGUCGGAGAUGACACUAAUCAAACAUAUGAAGUACUGCAGGGUUGAGGACCAUCUCAGCCAGCCAACCGACAUGGAAAACGCCAGCUGCGGACUCCAUUUCUUGGAUCCAAUCAAUCACUCGUUCAAUUUGGCAUCUCAUUCCAGGCAGCCAAUGUGGAAUUUUUCCAGUGCUGAAGCCCAAUUUCUAGUAUUUUGGAUCUCCCUUAUUUCAAAAUAAUUAUGGGGUGGCACCCCAAAGUCAAUUAAUUAGCUAGGAGGGUGUUCAGAUCUAGAACGAGGGAAAUCAUGUGAUGGGUGAAGCGAACCCUCAACCUGUCAAAUUAAAACUAUCUUCUCAUCCUUCCCCAUGAAAUAUUAAUAAUUUUUGGUUUA